AACUCAUCCUCAACGCCUACUACAACGAACCUCCCACACUCUUCGAGAGGUUCACGGCCCUCGAGGAGGGCGCAGGGUCUUACAACGAGUCGAGAUUCUCGCCGCCGUAUCCGUACGAGUACCUCUACUGCGGCUCGUCGCUGUACGGGAACGUGAGCUCGUCGCGUAUGAGGGAGUGGAUGGCUUACCACGCUUGGUUCUUUGGUGAUAAAUCGCAUUUUGUCUUUCACGAUGCCGGUGGUGUUUCGCCGGAGGUUAGGGAGGUUCUUGAGCCGUGGAUUCGAGCAGGGAGGGUCACGGUUCAGGACAUUAGGGACCAGGCUCGGUACGAUGGUUAUUACUAUAAUCAGUUUUUGAUUGUGAAUGAUUGUUUGCAUCGGUAUCGUCACGCUGCGGAGUGGACGUUUUUCUUUGAUGUUGAUGAGUAUAUUUAUUUGCCUGAUGGGAAUACGCUUGAAUCGGUUCUUGCUGAGUUUUCGGAUUAUACUCAGUUCACUAUUGAGCAGAACCCAAUGUCUAGUGUUCUUUGCUUGAACGAUUCAACUCAAGAUUAUCCCAGGUAUUGCUUCCUCAGUCUCCUUUGUAAUGCAAUUGAAUUCAAAGAAGUCAAUUGUUAUUGUUAGUACUUGGUAGAACCGAGCAUUCAUUCGUUUUUUGGUUUGAUUGUUUUAGUUUUCGGUUCUUUGUUAAAUAGAAAUUAGAAGAUAUCGGAACUGUCAAAGUAUUUUAUAAAAUUGGGUCGGGUUUGGUUCUUUAGUUCUGGUAAAAACAUUAACAACAACUAAUACCUGAAAAGUUGCUCAAAAAAGAAAAAAAAACUGAAAAAAUGAAAUUCAGUUUGGAUGUUAGACAAUUUGGAUUGUUUGAAAUAAAAUACUGGAUAAUUCGGACUAAUUCAUAUAAUUUGGAUAUAAAUAUUCGGAUACAAACAUAAAUUUUGAUAAUUCCUAGACUGUAGUUAUUUUAAAAUUAAAGAUAAUAGAUAUAUUAGUUGUAUUUCGGGUAUUAUAAUCCGAUUCGGUUUAGUAAUUUUAGUAUAGAGAAACAUGAACCAUUUAGAUGGUUUUCUGUUCGGUUCUUUGGAAUUUGGAACGCCUAAGCGUAAUUGUAGGAUAGAACCUUGGAAAUUAGCUUUUAAUUUGAUCAGUGAUGUUUCUGAAAAGAAAAACACUUGUUUUCUUGUUUGGUGUGUAUUUGUUAUCAGGCAAUGGGGAUUUGAGAAGCUACUAUUCAGAGAAUCAAGAACAAACAUACGACGUGACAGGAAAUAUGCGAUCCAGGCCAAGAACGCUUUUGCGACAGGAGUUCACAUGUCUGAAAACGUAGUAGGCAAAACGCUACACAAGACAGAGACAAAGAUCCGUUAUUACCAUUACCACAACACCAUAACAGUGCACGAGGAGCUUUGCAGAGAGAUGUUACCUGUUUCGGCCAAGAAGAAGGUGACAUUGUACAAGAAGCUUCCAUUUGUGUAUGACGAUAACAUGAAGAAGCUAGUGAACACGAUUAAAGAGUUUGAGCAGAAAAAACUUGGGACCAAAGAUGUGAAGCAUUUCUCAUGACAAGAGAUAACAACCUAAUCCCUCUGAUAAUCAUUUUGUUUAUAAAGGUACAGUAGUUGUUUCCGUUUAGUUGUAUCAUCUGUUUUGUCCUCUUCUACUAUUUCAUUAAAAACAGAAUUUGAAUAUCGUUCUAGUUAAUUGAAAAUUUGAACUUAGCUACCCAUAGACUCAAAGAGACUGUUUUGUCGUUUACCAGCUUUAUAACCACAGAAAAUUUGAAGGAUUGAUUCAUGUUGUGUUUAUCUUUUUUGUGACAAAUUCGUUUAAACUCAUGAUGCUUAAGGUUUACCAAAGAACUUGCAACGCAUAGAGCGUAUGGAUACAAAGUAAGAAAAGCUUCACUAGUCUUAGAUUAACGAAAGUUUCACACACACAUAACAAACUGAAUCAAUCCAAGAACGCAAAUCAGAACAAACCAAACCCAUCUAACAAACUCAUAGAACAUCCAUGACAAGGACACUAAAGCAUAUAUCUCCAACAGUCUUCUGUCCAAAUACACAAUAAGAAGAGACAUAAAUCUUCGACUGUACCCACAAACAAACAACACAGAGGUCUACUGUAUAAAACGAUGAUCAUAUGUACUAUCAAAACAUAGUUUCCCAAAUCCUUGUGGUAGAAUACAACCAUACCAGUAGAAUAAACCCAAACAAAAGCAAUACAAGGAGGAUCUGAAAAGAUACAAGUCUAUACAUCUCACAAACUUUAAACGGUAAACAAAUCAUUCAAAUUCAACCUUUUAUAUGUUUCUAUAAGGAACCAAAUCCAGCAAACUUCAAAAAUAGAACAAAGAUUAAAGGAAUAAAUGUAACAAGAAAGUUGAAGUCAAAACGAAGUUUCAGACUCCAUCAUUUUUAUUCGAUUGUGUGUAACAGUGUAAGUAACAGCUUAUAGUUUUGUCUAUACAAAGACUCUUUUAGCGAACGAAAAAACUUGACAAAACCCGUAGAAGCUAACUCACACCGAAGAAGAUGUCCAUACAAAAUAUAGUUAAUCCUGUUGUUUAUCGGUUCUGUUCUUGUUUCCAUAUAUCAGACCAGUAACCUACAAUAUAACAAACCAUUGAUAACUUAUAAAUAACAUCCUAAGGAACGCAAAUGACUGAUUGAUUUUUUUUGUAGACUGACCUGAGGAUCAGCGAUUGGUCUCCUCUUCUCGACGUAUUCAUUCGCAUCAGCCACCGCGAGAAGUGCCCUUGCCUAAAUCAAACCAAAGAAGAAACUAAAAUAAGAGAUUCUUUUUUUUUUAGAGACCAUGAGUGUCGAGAUCGGUACCUGCUGUUCCUUUUUGAGAUCCUGAGCUGGUUUAACCCAAAGAUAGUAAGCGAUUGUUCCCGCGACGAGCCAAGAAGCGAGAUUCUGACCUCCUCUGAGUCCACCCAUGGAGUUUCCCACGAACGACCUCACGUUCCCCAUUGAUCUUCUCCAGUCGCUACCCAUUUGAUACCACUCUUUGAUCUCUUCAGUCACUUUGAUGGAUGAUUCGAUUUGUGAAUUAGAAAAGUAAAGCUUUGAUUUGGUCUGAUUCUAAUUUGCUUGGUGCCCACUGCGAAUACUAAACCGGGGUCGUCGAGACCGGUUAGUGGUGGCAAUUCAGCAAUCUGUGUUUUGUUUGUGAUUUGAACAUCGUGCGUCUGUAAUUUCUCCACGUAGCAUUAGGAGAUCUGAUCUAAUAUAUGGGCUGGAUAAAAUUGUUAGGCACAUCGACUUUGAAUAAGGUAGCUGUAGUAAAACCCACCUCGAUACAUAAUUUUUUUGGAAAAUGGAGGACGUUAGUACUAAUUUUCAUGAGAAUUCUUGGAAAAUGUCCGACAUUAGUACUACAGUAAAACCCACCUCGAUAAAUAAUUAUUUUGGAAAAUGUCGGACAUUAGUACUAAUUUUCAUGAGAAAGGACUAACAAUACUCAAUAGACCAGACACAGGCCAUAACCGAAUCCGGUUAUAGUAAGGGUGGUGUGUUGGUUGUGUACCCCUCUGAUUUUCUUGAAGAUGAAUGACUUGAAUACGCUUGAAUACGCGAUGAGGAUCCAGAAAAGCCCAAAGUAUUAAUGAUGAUAAUUUAUGAGUUGACUAAAUGAAUUGGGUUUGAGAUAACUCAGCAUACAGGUUUAUCAUGAUCAUCGUCCCGCCCCGCCCCGCAGUUAACAGUAACAAAAAUCUCUACAUAUACUAUAUAUCUAUAUAUUUUUAUAACUGUUAGAACCAUACUGCAAUUGAACCGCUUGUCCCGCACUAUAAAAUGAGAGAUAUAAACUAGAAACAUAAAGUUAAUUAUACAUAUGUUCGGUUAUCUUCGGAUAUCCAUUCGGGUUCGGGUAUUAUCCGUUCGGGUUCGGGUAUCCAAUCUCUCCUUAUUCAAUACCCGUUCGGGUAUUUUGCUACUUCGGUUCGGAUUUCGGUUCGGUUUUUUCGGAUCGGGUUCGGAUGCCACUUCGGGUAUCGGGUAAAGUGCCCACCCCUAUAACACACUACAUAGAGACAGCCACGAGUCUCUCCAUAAUAGAACACUUGUGUCGGCAAAAGCUACGAGUCACACUUCUCUCUUAUUACGCUUUUGUCGUAAAAAAGAAAAAAAAAAAAUUUUGAAACCGAAACGGUGCGUUUCGUUUCACCGGCGCCGGAAACAAUGAGGAAGGAGAUUCUGCCGCCGGUGUCCACCACCACCGUCUGUUUAGAGAAUAAGCCACUGGUCGCUACAUUGCUAGCUCUCUCCCUCGUCAUGAUCAUCUGGAACCUUCCACCUUACUACCACAACCUCAUCUCCACCGCUCCUCCCUGCUCCGCCUCUCCCACCACCACCGCCACCACCAUACUCUCCUCCUCCUCCUCAUUUUCUCCACCUGAGAAUUUCGCCACCUCUCUCUCCGCCACGCCGGCAACUUCUCCUCCGUCAGAUCCGAACAAACGCGUUUUCCAACCGUUCGGAAACGCGGCGGCGCUGUUCGUCCUCAUGGGAGCUUACCGCGGCGGUCCAUCAUCCUUCUCCGUCGUCGGACUCGCCUCAAAGCCAAUCCACACCUUCGGGAAGCCAUGGUUCAAGUGCGAGUACCUAUCCAACAACGGAACCACAACACGAGCCACCAAAGCCGUGAAGAUCCUCCCGGACUGGGGCUACGGACGAGUCUACACCGUCGUGGUCGUCAACUGCACGUUCCACUCGAACCCCAACUCCGAUAACUCCGGAGGUAAACUCAUCCUCAACGCCUACUACAACGAACCUCCCACACUCUUCGAGAGGUUCACGGCCCUCGAGGAGGGCGCAGGGUCUUACAACGAGUCGAGAUUCUCGCCGCCGUAUCCGUACGAGUACCUCUACUGCGGCUCGUCGCUGUACGGGAACGUGAGCUCGUCGCGUAUGAGGGAGUGGAUGGCUUACCACGCUUGGUUCUUUGGUGAUAAAUCGCAUUUUGUCUUUCACGAUGCCGG
rnacentral:lncRNA from 1 species